ACAUAUCAAUAAGCGGAGGAAAAGAAACCAACAGGGAUUGCCCUAGUAACGGCGAGUGAAGCGGCAACAGCUCAAAUUUGAAAGCUAGCCUUCGGGUUCGCAUUGUAAUUUGUAGAGGAUGAUUUGGGGAAGCCGCCUGUCUAAGUUCCUUGGAACAGGACGUCAUAGAGGGUGAGAAUCCCGUAUGUGACAGGAAAUGGCACCCUAUGUAAAUCUCCUUCGACGAGUCGAGUUGUUUGGGAAUGCAGCUCUAAAUGGGAGGUAAAUUUCUUCUAAAGCUAAAUAUUGGCGAGAGACCGAUAGCGCACAAGUAGAGUGAUCGAAAGAUGAAAAGCACUUUGGAAAGAGAGUUAAAAAGCACGUGAAAUUGUUGAAAGGGAAGCGCUUGCAAUCAGACUUGUUUAAACUGUUCGGCCGGUCUUCUGACCGGUUUACUCGGUUUGGACAGGCCAGCAUCAGUUUCGGCGGCCGGAUAAAGGCUCUGGGAAUGUGGCCUCCACUUCGGUGGAGGUGUUAUAGCCCAGGGUGUAAUACGGCCAGCCGGGACUGAGGUCCGCGCUUCGGCUAGGAUGCUGGCGUAAUGGUUGUAAGCGACCCGUCUUGAAACACGGACCAAGGAGUCUAACAUCUAUGCGAGUGUUCGGGUGUCAAACCCCUGCGCGUAAUGAAAGUGAACGGAGGUGGGAACCCGCAAGGGUGCACCAUCGACCGAUCCUGAUGUCUUCGGAUGGAUUUGAGUAAGAGCAUAGCUGUUGGGACCCGAAAGAUGGUGAACUAUGCCUGAAUAGGGUGAAGCCAGAGGAAACUCUGGUGGAGGCUCGCAGCGGUUCUGACGUGCAAAUCGAUCGUCAAAUUUGGGUAUAGGGGCGAAAGACUAAUCGAACCAUCUAGUAGCUGGUUCCUGCCGA
rnacentral:rRNA from 1 species